AGUCCUUCUCUCAAGGCAGCCUCAUCAAUUUGGAUAACACCAAUACCACCCUUUUCAAGGUCUUCUACUUCAUCCUUGAUAGCCAAAGCAAUUUGAUAGCAGGUCUCAGAUCUGCAAAUAGAAUCACAUACACCAGGUUUAAAAUGACAUAAUAUGGUAAAUGCUGAUUAUCUCUUUUUUAAAGUGAUAAGGGGUCUAGUUUAUACCUAGGUUGGUCAACUCUAACAAAGGACCAGUUGAGAAUUGUGACAGGGCCAGUAAGCAUUCCCUUCAUUGGACGCUUGGUAAAGCUCUGAGCAAGAGCUGACCAGAAGACAGUCAUUGCCUUUGGGCGGCUCACAUCACCAUAGAUGAUUGGUGGCUUGACACAACGGGAUCCAUAUGAUUGCACCCACCCAUUGGCGGUAAAGGCAAAGCCUGACAACUGCUCGCCAAAGUACUCAACCAUGUCGUUCCUCUGCAACAAAAUGACACCAACAAUUAGUUAGACGUACAAUUUUUGAAUCAGCAAUCUAACAAGAGCAUAAGUAUGUCGAAAGCAGUUGCUCUUCAAAACAAAAGAAGUGAAGAGUAUAAUUAUAAAAGUUAACUAAAUCCAAGUGUAAUAAAGCUAUCUUCACUUAAAAAGACUAAAUGAAAGUCACUAGAAGAUGAUGAAAGUUGACCUCUGGCUCUCCGUGUACGAGGACAUCAAUAUCAAGCUCUUCUUGAAGUUGAACAACUUGGCGGAUUUCCUCCUUGAUUGCCUUGAUGUACUCUUCCUCAGAGAUCCUGAAUAAAACAACAAGAAUCAAUAAAGGAAUGCACAAUGUCAAAUAAACAAGGCAGAGAGAUCCACAAUUGUAGCAUUAUCUUACUUCUUAGCCUUGUAUUCACGACGCACCCUCCUAAGUUCUACAGUCUGAGGGAAUGAUCCAAUAGUGGUGGUUGGGAGAAUUGGAAGGUUAAGCUUCUUUUGUUGGGCAUCCAAUCUGGCACUGACAUUAGUAGCACGGCGAUGGUCAGAACCCUUCAAUGCAGCAGCCUGAGAGUUGAACAGAAAAGGUAUAAUUAAUACCUCCACAUACACAUGUAAACAAAAUCAGUAGUUAAACAGAGAGAAGAAAAAAUAAGCACUCACAGCCUUCUGAACAGCCUCGUUAGUCACUCUUGGAGAGGACUUUCUUGAAGCCUGAGCUGCAGCAUUAGCAGAGAAGAAGGCCUGAAAAUGAAAAUGCAUUAACUCAGGUGAAUUAUGUAGUGAAACAAACAGGAAUUUGCAUUUGUAAAUAGAACUUUUAUCUGAAACACUCAAAAGUCACAAACAAACUAUUGACAGUUGCAUAUAUUGCUUGCCACUGCUAACAAUUGUCUGAUGUCUAUUGACAUUGGUUAUUAAUAUUAUAGGCACUAGUUAUUCAUAUUACAGGUACCCAUUACUUAACUCUGAUUCUCGUGUUACACUUUUCUAUUCUUCCUGAUUCUCUUAAUUGUGCAGUUAUAUUAUUAUUAUUAUUAUUAUUAGAUAAAAUACCACAAUGUCAGUAGGAAACAAACAAUCAAACUAUGUUGAGACAAUAUUUCAAAUGUGACAUGAAAUGGAAGAAAUGGAUAUUACCUCAUCCUUGUUGCCAGAAACUGCAUUAGCCAAUGCAUUUACUUCAACAACUUUUUGGGCAGCAAAAGCUAGCCAUGACUUAAUUUCAUCAUCCAACUUGGUCUCGUUAACAAGAUCCACAGCAGUGUGAAGAAGUGAGCUGGAUGUGGAUACAACAACUCUCUCUGCAUAUGGUUUUUAAAUUAGAUACAUCAAUUGAAAAUGUUUACUUCAAAGACUCCCAAACUUUCCUAUGUAGUGAAUGUACAAUGUUCAAGGAAUACCUUUGCCCACAAUGGCAGCAAGAGUGUCUAAAGUUUUGAGAGAAUCAGCAAGAUCAUUUGCCCAAAUGUUCCUUCCAUCAACCACUCCAGCAAAGAUCAAUUUAUCACUAGGAAAUCCAGCCUUGAUCAAAUCAAUAGUCUUAGCUCCACGGACUAAAUCAAAUCCAUAUGCGUUGACACCACUCAAAGAUGUAAGGGUCUUGUAUGCUUCGGCGGUAAGAUCAGCAAAGUAGGUCUCAACAAGUACAUGCAGACCAGAAAGAGCAGGUGUAAGCUCAGCAUAUGCAUCGGUAAAUGCUUGCAACUUGUGAGAUUCAAGAUCCAAGACAAGUGUGGGUUCAUCAAAUUGAAUAAAUUGAGCACCAGCUGC
rnacentral:lncRNA from 1 species